rnacentral:misc_RNA from 1 species
UUCUUUAUUGGGAAUAAACGCCCUCUUUUAAAUCGAAAACUUAACAACUAUCGAGAACGUAUUAAUACACGAUACACGUGAAUUUAACCGAAGACGGUUUGCAGUCUGUAUUAUCAUGUCCAGAGCAUGCCGACAGUUAUCUUCGCAUUUUAUUGUUUAUAAAUAAAGAAUUUUGUAUAGGCAAAUAGUAUGAACUAACAAAAUAAAUAAUUAAAUGAAAAAUGUCUUUUUGUUUACGUUCUGCUUCAAAUAGAUUUACAUCACUUGUUAAUAAGCACCGGCAAGUAAUAAAGUUCAACCAUCAAUUAUCCAAACAAAUUAAAUCGUCUUUGUUUUUAAACGAGUUUUCAGAUAUGCAAACAAAAAUAAAUGUGGCAAUAAAUUCCACAAAAUGUUCUGUGAACUCUUUAAUUUGUUUAUUGGGUCAAAAUAUACCAAAUACAUUUUAUAAUACUCACAUUGAAAACUCAAAUAUAUACAAGAAAAAAUAUAAUUGCAAUAAACAAGAAACAUUAACAGUGCAUAGAUGGAAAAAAUUAAAUAUUCAACCAAUAAAUAUAAAUAAUUCUGAUCUAAGUGGGAUGACAUUAACUAAGAGGAUAUCUGACAAUACCCUUUCUAGUUCUAAAACGAAAGGUAUUCUGUAUUCAGAAACAUCUCCUAACAUAACGGAUAUAAAUAACACGCAACCUCAGGAACAUAAAUCAUCUGAAGAACGAUUACAAACUGUAUUUAAUCAACUUCAAACUGAUUUACCAUUAUUGUUUGUUAGAACAAUGAAUUAUUCAAUAUAUACAGCUGAUUUAAUAUUUAUAAAUAAUAUUAAAGGAACCACAACUACGGGUAUUUAUGAGUAUAUAAAGCAAAUAUCAAUAUUAAAAAUAAUAGGUCAUAUAAAAUUCGCUUAUGUUAAAUGUAAUAUUUUAAAAAUGACUAUGCACCCUGAGGACAGUACUAUUAAAGUUCGGUGGCGCAUAGAAGGUAUUUCUGGUACAAGUGUAUUUCUAUCAUUUUGGAAAUUUAGUCUGUGGAAUUUGAAAAAUCAAGCUACUGAAAAACCAGCGUGGUACGAUGGAUUUUCUACUUUUUAUGUUAAUAAUGAUGGCAAAAUAUUUAAACAUGUAGUGGACAAAUUAAUGCCUGAUCAAGAGCAAGAAAAAGUGAAAACUCCUAUUGAACCAAAAUUGGCUUUAUUUUCUGCUUUGUUAAGCUUAGAUUCAUAUUAUUUUGAUAAAUUUGACUUAAAAACACAUUUUCACUUACUUCAGAUAAAACAAAAAAAUGAAUAAAAAAUUUUCAAGUUAUAUGACUAGAUAAUAAAUAAUUGAGAUAUUAAAAUACGGAAUCUGUUUUGACAUGUACAGCUUAAAUAUAUUUGUAGAAUCACACAUGGAGAUCAAACAGCAUGUAAUAAAAGUCCAGACACAUACAACUACACUGCUUAUGCAUUAAUAUUACUUAAUUGCACUUGUAACUAUGUGCAUAUGUGAUUACAUGUUGUAAGCACAGAGUGAAUCAGUCACUAUUAAUAUCUUAAUUGUUUUUAAUAUCUCUGAUAGCUAGGGAAAGAAUUAUUAAAUAAAAUUGUGGGGAGGACCAUUAUAUGGUCGCAAUAGCUUUCUUUAGAAUGCAGUGUCUUAAAAAGUGGAUAUCAAUUUUUUUUAAUGGAGAUAUUUCCAUUUUAUAAUAUCAUAUUUAAUAUCUUUUCUUUGCAAUACGAUAGCGGUUUCUAAGACGAAUAAAACGAUCUAAAUAAAAAUUGUUUAAAUAAUCGUACAAGGAUGAAAAAGAUAUUUGCAAAAGCACCAGUAUCCAAGGUCGUUAAAUUCGAUUGUUGCAUUUAUAACCGUUGUUGGUAUUCCUUAUAAAUCAUAUGCACAUU